AGAGUUUGAUCCUGGCUCAGGAUGAACGCUGGCGGCGUGCCUAACACAUGCAAGUUGAGCGAUUUACUUCGGUAAAGAGCGGCGGACGGGUGAGUAACGCGUGGGUAACCUACCCUGUACACACGGAUAACAUACCGAAAGGUAUGCUAAUACGGGAUAAUAUAUUUGAGAGGCAUCUCUUGAAUAUCAAAGGUGAGCCAGUACAGGAUGGACCCGCGUCUGAUUAGCUAGUUGGUAAGGUAACGGCUUACCAAGGCGACGAUCAGUAGCCGACCUGAGAGGGUGAUCGGCCACAUUGGAACUGAGACACGGUCCAAACUCCUACGGGAGGCAGCAGUGGGGAAUAUUGCACAAUGGGCGAAAGCCUGAUGCAGCAACGCCGCGUGAGUGAUGAAGGCCUUCGGGUCGUAAAACUCUGUCCUCAAGGAAGAUAAUGACGGUACUUGAGGAGGAAGCCCCGGCUAACUACGUGCCAGCAGCCGCGGUAAUACGUAGGGGGCUAGCGUUAUCCGGAUUUACUGGGCGUAAAGGGUGCGUAGGCGGUCUUUCAAGUCAGGAGUGAAAGGCUACGGCUCAACCGUAGUAAGCUCUUGAAACUGGGAGACUUGAGUGCAGGAGAGGAGAGUGGAAUUCCUAGUGUAGCGGUGAAAUGCGUAGAUAUUAGGAGGAACACCAGUUGCGAAGGCGGCUCUCUGGACUGUAACUGACGCUGAGGCACGAAAGCGUGGGGAGCAAACAGGAUUAGAUACCCUGGUAGUCCACGCUGUAAACGAUGAGUACUAGGUGUCGGGGGUUACCCCCUUCGGUGCCGCAGCUAACGCAUUAAGUACU
rnacentral:rRNA from 1 species